CCGUGGGCGGAGCCAGGGGGGAGGGCGAAGUGAGGGCCAGUGCUUGGACCAGAAGCGAGCGUUGGAAGUGCAUCCCCAUCGUUUAACGCUUUGAGGAAGCGCAGAGCUCAUCAAACACCCAAACACAUCCCAGUGACCCCUAAAAAACGAGAAAGAACUUACUUGUCACUGGAGGGUGCCGCAGAAGCCGAAAUCCGGAAGUCGGUAUGGAAGAGAGCAGGCAAGAGAGUAAGAUGACAUCACCACCGCCCCAAAGACGCUCCGUUAUUCCUUCACUAAGUAAUCUUAUAUGACUUUCACCUUCUAAUGCAUACUAACUAUAAACUCACAAAAUAUUGUAAAAAUAGUACAGCGGGGUCCUGGGUGAGCGCCGUUCAGCUACUCCCACCGGCGGCAUCUUACGUAACCAUAGUACGUUGUCAGAACCAGUACACUGACGUUGGCACUAUACCGAUACCCGGACGAUAGAACGUACCCCGAUUUCACCACUUUUCUUGUGUGUUUACUCUUUUAAAAAAAAAUUUAUUUCAUUAAAUACUUCCUAUCUCACAGUCGUAGGGAAGCCAUCUUAAAAUCACACGGACGUCAUACCUUGGUGUAUAAGUGAAAGAAGGGAGACUCACAGGCACCGAGGGUGUCGAGGAGGCCCACGCAGUGACCCAGCACAGUUCUUAAAGGGUGAGCAUAUCUGAUCCAGCUGGUCCAGGCACAGAGCAGAUGCUCAGAAAUUCGUGCUCAGACUUCCCCCCCAAGGUUCGCAGCCCAAAGCCAUCACGAGCGUGGCGAGGGAUUUACCUAGGAUUCCUGACAGCAGCCCAUCCAGAAGAGUCAGCAUGGUGGCGGCCAAGGCCACGGACGGGGCACAGAACGGCGGGAUCGUGGAGAUGGAGCCGCAGCUUGCGGACUCCGUGGUGAAGCCCUGGUCUCUUUUCCCUGAACUUGUUCCAGAUCGCCGUCUGUUAUCGAACGAAUGUGUGUGUUCCCCCCACAUUCAUGUAUUGAAGCCCUAACCCCUCAUGUGAUGGUAUCUGGAGGUGGGGGGUCCUUUGCGAGGUCUACCCAGGUCCACCCAUCAUCUCUCCAUCAUUCACCCAACGGACAUUCAUUUAGCACAGACUGGCCUCUGCCAUAUGCUUGGUGCUGGGAAAACAGAUGAAUCAGACUCGGUUCCUGCUCUUUAGGCAUUUGCAAGACUGGUUGGGAGGAGAGGGGCUGGAACAGAGUUAACAAGGCAUCUCAAGCCCUGCUCUCAUGGAACCUGCGACCUCCGGAUGUCUUGAACUUCUUACAGGCUCUUCAAACAUAGCAUGUCCCAAAGAGAAUCUCUGGUCAUCACCCUCCCACCCAUUGAAAAGUAAUGUCAUUUUUUGUUAAUAAAAUAAACA